GCUGCCGGAUAGCUUAAUUGGUUAAAGCAUUUCACUGCAAAGCAAAAGUGACUAUCACGGCGCGGGUUCGAGCCCCGGUCGUACCA